AUCUACGUGUCAUCACUGUAGGCACUCUGGUGAAUCCGCGCGCAUUCGUUCGACUUGUUGCGAAUUUGACGCUUCGACGCGCUUCGCUGCGAUUCAACUCUGCCCUAUUAUAAAUUGACCCUUACUAACUUGAGUUUGACAGAU